UUGUGUCAAUUGUCAUUCGCGGUUGUCGGCUAUCAGUCAGCGCAAUCUAUCUUUUUCGGCUCCCUUCCCAGCUUUGAUUACAUGUUUUUUGUAAUUAUAGUCAAUUAACUUAAACAAUUUCAGUUAGUUGAUUGCUAAAGGUUGAUAGUUUAAAUUGUGGUUGCUUACGUUAAACUUUCUAUCAAAAUGUAUCUCAUUAAACAUAGUUGCUUAGUAAUACUUUUAGCUUUGAUUGUUAAGAUUGAGGGUGAAGAACUUAAGGCAACGGUAACAACUCCAGACGGAAAAACUAGCAUCACUUCUAGUUCUACACCUGCGAACACCUUGACGACCACAGUAACGGACAAAUCCACCGAUAAAUCCACAUCUUCUUCAAUUUCCCCCACAACACAGCAAUCGACAACCAC